GUCUUCGUUGUACUUCUCUGCGGUCUCGCUUUGGCAAUCUUAGUGGCGAUACUCGAGUUUUGCUGGAACAGUAAGAAGAAUGCCCAAACCGAUCGGCAGUCGCUCUGCUCGGAAAUGGCGGAGGAGCUCAGAUUCGCGGUGAGAUGUCACGGAUCCCGGCAACGUCCGGCUUUGCGAAGGACGUGCACGAGAUGCAGCCCCGCCACCACCUACGUGCCCGCGGCUUUAGAUUUACCGCAUCUUAACGGGGACGGACUUGUGCUUCCGCUGACCGACCUGAAAAAAUCGCCAAUUAACUACGAGAUUGACACAUAGCGGAAAUUAUUGGCUGGUGUACAACCGAUAGCAUGUACAUCCAGCUCAAUACGUGACUGCUGCGGCGGACCGUCGAAUGCCAAAUCCCGCCGUUCGGCCACCCUCAACUACAGACCAACCCCGCAGUGUCCACCGCCGCUGCCGUUCCUGAAUAAAAGUGCGACGCUAGGACGGGAAAGUGUGCGCGCCGACGCCUGUGACGUAGUGCAAAGCGGCCUAAAAGCGAACUCGCAAGAACGAAUUUUGUGGAGAUUCGAUUGUGAUAUUGCUAGUUCUAACAAUCCGGACGUAGUGAAUAGGACACUGCCAGAUGCAAUUGUGAGUAGGACCACCACUUUGUGAUAUCUAACAUAGAUCUAAAUGAAAUUUUGGAGAUACAUUUAUACACGAAAACAAAUAUUUAAGUUAUCAAGGGCGUAUUUUUGAGUUCCGUCCAAAUUCGGUUCUGAACGCAAUUAUUGUUAAAUUAAAUAAAAAUUCUGUUCUUUAAUAAAUACGAAUUAUUGUA